rnacentral:rRNA from 1 species
CAGUAGCCGCGGGAACACGUAGGUGGCAAGCGUUGUCCGGAAUUAUUGGGCGUAAAGGGCUCGCGGGCGGUUUCUUAAGUCUGAUGUGAAAGCCCCCGGCUCAACCGGGGAGGGUCAUUGGAAACUGGGAAACUUGAGUGCAGAAGAGGAGAGUGGAAUUCCACGUGUAGCGGUGAAAUGCGUAGAGAUGUGGAGGAACACCAGUGGCGAAGGCGACUCUCUGGUCUGUAACUGACGCUGAGGAGCGAAAGCGUGGGGAGCGAACAGGAUUAGAUACCCCAGUAGUCCCUGUCUCUUAUAC